GUUGACUAUGAAAUGAGAUUAUAAUUUUCAUUGUUCAUAUUCUGUCAACUAGAUAUAUAAGCUUAAUUUGUACUGUAUCAAAGUUCAUAAAAAUGGCGAAGAUGUCCACCACUUUCUUCAUCACAACCAUUAUGUUGGCAGUUUUUCUAUCAGCUCCAACAUUGGCCCAAGUUGAAGAGAGUAACGUUGGUUCAUGUAAGGUUGCUGGUGAAUUUUGUGGAGGAUUCGCCGGAUUCGCUUGCUGCAAAGGAUUAACCUGCGUUCUUGAAGGCAGUUUCCCAGAUGCCGGAGGAGUUUGCAAGCGGAAAUAUUAGCACAAUCGUUGAGUUUUCUAAUGAUCAAGCAGCUUCUCAUCUUCUUAUUAAGCGAUUUUAAUAACCAAAAUGUUAUACGUUCUUUCCUUUCCUUCUGAGUUCAGUUUGAUGUAAUUCAUUUUACUGUUGGUUACAUCAUUUAUCAAUAUAUAAAUAAACUACUACGAGUACUAUAUGUGAUAUGAUGUGUGGAGGUAUGUCUAAUUUCAUUCCAUUAUGGUGUACUAUGAUUGUAAUAAAUUCAUUUCAUUAUUUAAUAUAAA